rnacentral:lncRNA from 1 species
AUGUUUGUUGAGCAUUUUGGGUGCCCCCAGUGCUGUAGAAAAUGCAGCGUAUUCCUUAUCUCGUGGAAACCCUACAACUGCUCUUGGGACAUCAGUACUGUCUUUAUUCCCAUUUUACAGGUAAAGAAACUGAGGCUUGGAGAGGUUCUGACGCCAGCUUGGCUAGAAAGCCACGAAGAGUGUGGAGAGAGGCAGAAGGGACCCAGGUUAGGAGCUCUGCUGAGACUCAGGAAAAAGAAAAGUACGCCAACCCUUCCACAUGGAGAUGUGAGCAAGCAAAAGAGGUAGAAGGGCAAUUCACGAAACAACUGUAAGGAAAUGACCUCCAGUUAUAGAAUACUUAAUUUCAUAAGUAAUUCAAGGAGAUAUAAAUGCAAAGAUCAAGGUGUCAUUUGUCACCUGUAAAAUUCGAGAACUUACUUUAUGUUACUAUUUACUGUGUUUGUGUUAUGAUACGGUUAUGCUCAUAACAGUAAACGUGUAUAAACUUUCUGGAAAGCAUCUUGCAAAUUAUGCAAAAGAUGUU